rnacentral:rRNA from 1 species
CCUACGGGAGGCUGCAGUGGGGAAUCUUGGACAAUGGGCGAAAGCCUGAUCCAGCCAUGCCGCGUGUGUGAAGAAGGCCUUCGGGUUGUAAAGCACUUUCAGUGGGGAAGAAAGCCUUGGGGCUAAUACCCUCGAGGAAGGACAUCACCCACAGAAGAAGCACCGGCUAACUCCGUGCCAGCAGCCGCGGUAAUACGGAGGGUGCGAGCGUUAAUCGGAAUUACUGGGCGUAAAGCGCGCGUAGGCGGUCUGAUAAGCCGGUUGUGAAAGCCCCGGGCUCAACCUGGGAACGGCAUCCGGAACUGUCAGGCUAGAGUGCAGGAGAGGAAGGUAGAAUUCCCGGUGUAGCGGUGAAAUGCGUAGAGAUCGGGAGGAAUACCAGUGGCGAAGGCGGCCUUCUGGACUGACACUGACGCUGAGGUGCGAAAGCGUGGGUAGCAAACAGGAUUAGAUACCCGAGUAGUC